CAGCCGCCGCGGGAACACGUAGGGUGCAAGCGUUAAUCGGAAUUACUGGGCGUAAAGCGUGCGCAGGCGGUUUUGUAAGACAGAGGUGAAAUCCCCGGGCUCAACCUGGGAACUGCCUUUGUGACUGCAAGGCUAGAGUACGGCAGAGGGGGAUGGAAUUCCGCGUGUAGCAGUGAAAUGCGUAGAUAUGCGGAGGAACACCGAUGGCGAAGGCAAUCCCCUUGGCCUGUACUGACGCUCAUGCACGAAAGCGUGGGGAGCAAACAGGAUUAGAUACCCCGGUAGUCCCUGUCUCUUAUAC
rnacentral:rRNA from 1 species